UACGUAGGGUGCGAGCGUUUGUCCGGAAUUAUUGGGCGUAAAGAGCUCGUAGGCGGUGUGUCGCGUCGGCCGUGAAAACCUGCAGCUUAACUGUGGGCGUGCGGUCGAUACGGGCAUCACUGGAGUUCGGCAGGGGAGACUGGAAUCCUGGUGUAGCGGUGAAAUGCGCAGAUAUCAGGAGGAACACCGGUGGCGGAAGGCGGGUCUCUGGGGCCGAUACUGACGCUGGAGGGAGCGAAAAGCGUUGGGGAGCGAACAGG
rnacentral:rRNA from 1 species